UACGUAGGGGGCGAGCGUUGUCCGGAUUUAUUGGGCGUAAAGAGCGUGUAGGCGGCCAGGUAGGUCUGCUGUGAAAACUCGAGGCUCAACCUCGAGACGUCGGCGGAAACCAUCUGGCUAGAGUCCGGAAGAGGAGAGUGGAAUUCCUGGUGUAGCGGUGAAAUGCGCAGAUAUCAGGAGGAACACCAAUGGCGAAGGCAGCUCGCUGGGACGGUACUGACGCUGAGGAGCGAAAGCGUGGGGAGCGAACAGG
rnacentral:rRNA from 1 species